rnacentral:tmRNA from 1 species
GGGGGUGACCGGUUUCGACGGGGAUCAAGAGGUCAGCGGUGCAUGUCGAGCUCUCGGAGUCUCGUUAAACCUUCGGGAAAAAACAAUAAUUGACAACGAUCAAUUAGCCCUCGCGGCCUAAUAACCCGCGACGUCUCUCCUCUCUUUGUCUGCGGGAGGGGAAGAGGCGACACUUUGCAGGCUG